UACAGAGGAUGCAAGCGUUAUCCGGAAUGAUUGGGCGUAAAGCGUCUGUAGGUGGCUUUUUAAGUCCGCCGUCAAAUCCCAGGGCUCAACUCUGGACAGGCGGUGGAAACUACCAAGCUGGAGUACGGUAGGGGCAGAGGGAAUUUCCGGUGGAGCGGUGAAAUGCGUAGAUAUCAGGAGGAACACCAAUGGCGAAGGCAGCUCGCUGGGACGGUACUGACGCUGAGACGCGAAAGCGUGGGGAGCAAACAGG
rnacentral:rRNA from 1 species